GGACUUCUGUUGAUUGCAGUGUUUGCUUCCUGGUUAGUAAGGGUUGUAAGACUUUCACAGGCUUUGUGUAGCUCCUAACCUAGGGACUACAUGGGGAUUGUAAAUACAAAGCUUUCACAAGUGCAUAACUCUAGUUUAUGCAUUUGUAUCUGCCCAACAGGAUUACCACCUUCAUUCUUCAGUCACACUGUUAUGCUAGAACAAGAGAUUUCAUUUAUACUGGAAUCUUGGAAAAGUUACUGAUGCUCCCAAAUUCAGGAUGCGUCAUCUGAAAAGGUCUCUCUUGAAACCGGAUUUGGACAGAAAAGCUCUCUGAAUACUAGGUACUCCAGAAGUCCUUCAACAGAAGGUUGUUUUCUGUAAAGAAGAAUUGGACAAUCUACCAUCUAACCCUGCUUUUCCCUUCUAGGUUAUAACAUCAGAAUGCAAACGGAUCUUGUUGAACCUUUCCGACUAACUGAGCAUAAGAAGUUGUACAAUAAGCUUUUGUAAACUUGGUCAACUUCAUCAGAUGUAUGGAGUUGACUGGUGUCCAUAAUCAGACUGUAUGAUUAGCCAUAGAAAUGCAAAACUUGUGAAAAUGGUGAUGAGGUAAUUGAUAAUUGAGGGAGAAAGGCAGCUGCCUAAGGGAGAAAGAUGUUGCCUAAGGCCAGGGUGAGUGGAUGUCCAUAUGGAUGGAGGAGGUACUGGAAUGUGGUGUGUGCAGGCUGGAAAACAGAAAGAAGAUAUAUGAAACUGGCCAAGAGUAUCCUCAUGAGGCUGGAAUGUUAACCAGUGUUAUGAUAUACAUAGUGUGCCAGGAAGUCAUUGUCUCUGUUUAACCCACCAUUGAUAGAUUGGAGUUUGUGGAUAUAUUCCAAUUCAGCAGUUGUUCUUUUCAAUCUUCAUUUGGAUUUGUUGUUGUUGUUGUUGUUCAAGAACUUCUAUCCUGAGUUCACGAACUGGAAUGCCCAGGAAUACUAAAGUGUUCUGCAACAGGUUUUUUGUAUAUUCCCAUUCAUAAUAUCUGAUUUAUGUCUAUAUCCUAUGGGCAGAGGCUAGUAAGUGAAAGUGCCUCUAAUGUUGUGAGUUAUGUGAGUAGGUCCUGUGAUGACAUUUCCUGAGUAGGUGUGUGGCCAGAGUUGGUAUCUGGGUUUGUGGUAAGGUUUUGUAUCCACCUGCCCAUCUGUGUUGUGCACCCUCCUGUAAGUAGGUAAUUGUUUGAGACUGGCUGUCUGUAGGCAAGUAAAGGCCUGCCACCAAGAGCCUUUGAGAGGGCACUUUAUUGUCCAAAACAGGUUGUAGCUCAGAUACAUCUGAGUGGCCUCAGUUGGGAGUUGUAUAUGACCACUAGUGGGUUUCUGUCAUUUUCUGUCUUCGGUCUGUUCUGUAAACGAUUUGUUGUCAGUACAAGUCUUGCCUUUCAUUUUUUACUUCAUAUGGUGGGUACUAUAGCUUGAGGAAUCUUUGUUGUAAUUCCAGGAGUUGUCAUCCCUGUCCUGUGGAUCUAAGCAGAUGUAGUUGUAUUAAGGGUUUCAUUGUAAACUAUGGAUUUGGUAGUGUGUUUAGGGUGGACACUGAAGGUAUAUAAGUAUGUAUAUUGGUCAUUGAGUUUGCAAUAUAGAGUGGUUGUAAUGUGCAAUACUGUGCUCCAUUGCAUCUAUUGGAGUCACUCUGGAAUAACCCCAGUCACUCUGGAUUUUUAUGAGAAUCUUUGUUUGGCUGAUUCUCUCGUGGCUGCACUGUUAUUAUGGAAACCACAACAUCUGCAAAACCACCGAGAAUGCUAUAAAUUAAUGCAAGAUGUAGACAAUGGAAGAGACACCCUGUUAAAUAAAACACACUUUCUUAUCAACAUUGCUCUUUUAAUUAUUUUACAGAUGUGGAAAAUUUAAGGACUGGUUUUUGAGCCAUGCAAAAAUAUGUGAACAGCUUGCCAGAAACUAAGCAAUUAGAGAACUGGAGUUUGAAGAACAAAAAAUGGGGACAUUAGAUCAGGAAGGAUAUAGUGCCAAAUCAAAGGAUGGUAUGUGCUAAAAUUCAUGAGGGAACAGAUGGGGGAAAUGUAGAAAUGAAGGCAUAAAAGGCACACACUUUUUCUCCUUUCUCAUCAAACCAGGUUUAUUAAAAAUGCCUCUUUGUUUGCUCUGCUUAAAAUCGUGGCUUUCUGUGAGCUUGCUUCAUUGACUGACUGUGGUUGAAAGGAGGGAAAUAGCAUUGGACAAUGUUGCUGUUGCUCUAUUAACCUCCUCUUGCCUCUAAG